rnacentral:rRNA from 1 species
AUGUUACUCAUCUUCUGUUUGCAGACGACAACAUUGUUUUCCUUGAGGGUUCAAGGGGAAAUAUGGAGACUCUCAAGCAGAUACUUUUCAAAUAUGAGACAGAAAGUUUCAGGACAAAAAGUAAACUUGCAGAAGUCAUCUAUAUUUUUUGGGAAGGGGAGUCAGAGCGAGAUGCAAGAGCAAGUGAAGCAGGCGGUUGGUAUUCAGUCCGAGGCUCUUAGUGAGCGUUAUUUGGGGCUUCCAACACUGGUUGGAAGAUCCAAGGAUGGCACUUUCAAGCAUGUUACUGAAUGUUCCAAAGGUAAAGUUAGCGGGUGGAAGGGACAAGGGUUGUCGAAGGCAGCCAGAGAAGUGCUAGUAAAAUCUGUCCUCCAGGCGACACCGACCUACACCAUGAGUUGUUUUCACCUCUCUAAGGAGAUGUGCCGGAACCUGACUUCGAUCUCUUCGAAAUUCUGGUGGGGUGCAAUGAAUGGUGAAAGGAAGGUUCAUUAG